GGUGCAGCAGCUGGGAAGGGUGGGGUUGUUCGCCCAUUAAAGGGGAUCGUGAGAUGGGUUUAGACCGUCGUGAGACAGGUUUGUUGCUUUGUGGUUGAGGCGUAUCAGGUGCCUGAUCGGAAGGGCCCUUUAGUACGAGAGGAACGAGGGCUCGGAGCCACUAGUUUACCAGUUGUCCGGCAGGGCAAUGCUGGGUAGCCACGCUCUAGCGGAUAAGAGCUGAAAGCAUCUAAGCUCGAAGUCGCCCGAAAGACGAGGCACCUCAGGGGACUCGUAGAAGACGAGUUUGAUAGACAGCGGGUGUAAGUACCGAGGUUCGCCGAGGUAUUCAGCCCAGCUGCACUAACCCCCCGAG
rnacentral:rRNA from 1 species